rnacentral:rRNA from 1 species
CCUGACUGCUAUCGGAUUGAUACUAAGCCAUGCGAGUCUUUGCAGUAAUGCAAGGCAUACGGCUCAGUAACACGUAGUCAACUUACCCUAUGGACGAGGAUAAUCUCGGGAAACUGAGCAUAAUACUCGAUAGAUCAUAAUGCCUGGAAUGGUUUAUGGUUGAAAUGAUUCGUCGCCAUAGGAUGGGACUGCGGCCUAUCAGCUUGUUGGUGAGGUAAUGGCCCACCAAGGCGAUUACAGGUACGGGCUCUGAGAGGAGAAGCCCGGAGAUGGGUACUGAGACAAGGACCCAGGCCCUAUGGGGCGCAGCAGGCGAGAAAACUUUGCAAUGUGCGAAAGCACGACAAGGUUAAUCCGAGUGAUUUCUGCUAAAGAAAUCUUUUGCAAGUCAUAAAACCACUAGUGAAUAAGGGGUGGGCAAGUUCUGGUGUCAGCCGCCGCGGUAAAACCAGCACCUCAAGUGGUCAGGAGGAUUAUUGGGCCUAAAGCAUCCGUAGCCGGCUCUGUAAGUUUUCGGUUAAAUCCAUGUGCUCAACGCAUGGGCUGCCGAAAAUACUGCAUAGCUAGGGAGUGGGAGAGGUAGACGGUACUCGGUAGGAAGGGGUAAAAUCCUUUGAUCUAUCGAUGACCACCUGUGGCGAAGGCGGUCUACCAGAACACGUUCGACGGUGAGGGAUGAAAGCAGGGGGAGCAAACCGGAUUAGAUACCCGGGUAGUCCCAGCUGUAAACGAUGCAGACUCGAUGAUGCAUUGGCGUAUAGCCAGUGCAGUGUCGCAGGGAAGCCGUUAAGUCUGCCGCCUGGGAAGUACGUACGCAAGUAUGAAACUUAAAGGAAUUGGCGGGGGAGCACCACAAGGGGUGAAGCCUGCGGUUCAAUUGGAGUCAACGCCAGAAAUCUUACCCGGAGAGACAGCAGAAUGAAGGUCAAGCUGAAGACUUUACCAGACAAGCUGAGAGGUGGUGCAUGGCCGUCGCCAGCUCGUGCCGUGAGAUGUCCUGUUAAGUCAGGUAACGAGCGAGAUCCUCGCCACUAGUUGCUAUCAUUAUUCUCAGGAAUAGUGGGGCGAAUUAGUGGGACUGCCGUUGUUAAAACGGAGG